rnacentral:rRNA from 1 species
GACGUAGGAUGCAAGCGUUGUCCGGAAUUACUGGGCGUAAAGCGUGCGCAGGCGGUUGGUUAAGUCUGAUGUGAAAGCCCCGGGCUCAACUUGGGAAUGGCAUUGGAAACUGGCUGGCUAGAGUGUGGCAGAGGGGGGUGGAAUUCCGCGUGUAGCAGUGAAAUGCGUAGAGAUGCGGAGGAACACCGAUGGCGAAGGCAGCCCCCUGGGCUGACACUGACGCUCAGGCACGAAAGCGUGGGGAGCAAACAGG